UACGACUCUCGGCAACGGAUAUCUCGGCUCUCGCAUCGAUGAAGAACGUAUCGAAAUGCGAUACUUGGUGUGAAUUGCAGAAUCCCGUGAACCAUCGAGUCUUUGAACGCAAGUUGCGCCCGAAGCCGUUAGGCCGAGGGCACGUCUGCCUGGGCGUCACGC
rnacentral:rRNA from 1 species